rnacentral:misc_RNA from 1 species
CUACUGAUAUACUGAUCCUUACUAUGAUUUUUGUAACAAAAUUCACGUUAAAAGCAUUUUGAUAUCACUAGAAUAGAACUUACUGAUUAUUGUACGUUAAUUUGAUAUCGUACAAUUUGAUCUACUGGAGAAAUUAGAUCACCAAAAAGUGUUUUAAAAAAUGAUACUGUUUAAUAUGGUUGGUUACCGUAAAUAGAUCAUGUAUAUUUUGCUUGACAUUGACAGAAAUCAAACAUUAUUUUUCUCAUCGUGUUAGAUUACAAAGCACAAUGUAUUAAUAUUUAUUCAUAUGUACUAGUAUUUAUGUUAUGAGUUUCUGAUCAUAGCCAUAUGAUGGGCUUUGCUUUGUUAAGUCAAUUCAUGAAUCUUUGGGAUAAGUAUAAUUGUAUGUUAUUUCAAAUUUUGGGAAAAUAAUUGUCAAGCAUUAUGCAUAAUAAAAAGUAAAGUCAU